CGCCGCUAUGAUAUUUAGUUA
rnacentral:snRNA from 1 species